rnacentral:rRNA from 1 species
AUUGCACGCUGGCGGCAGGCCUAACACAUGCAAGUCGAGCGAGCGGCGGACGGGUGAGUAAUGUCUGGGAAACUGCCUGAUGGAGGGGGAUAACUACUGGAAACGGUAGCGAAUACCGCAUACCAUCAGAUGUGCCCAGAUGGGAUGAGCUCGUAGGUGGGGUAACGGCUCACCGAGGCGAUGCUCCCUCGCUGGUUUGAGAGGAUGACCAGCAACACUGGAACUGCGACACGGUCCAGACUCAUACGGGAGGCAGCAGUGGGGAAUAUUGCACAAUGGGCGCAAGCCUGAUGCAGCCAUGCCGGGUGUGUGAAGAAGGCCUUCGGGUUGUAAAGCACUUUCAGCGGGGAGGCGUUACCCGCAGAAGAAGCACCGGCUAACUCCGUGCCAGCAGCCGCGGUAAUAC